AUUUUGAAAAUUGUAAGGUCACUUUUUUUGUGAUGCGACCUCAAUUAAUGUAAAUACUUCUAUAAUUAUGUCAUUCACAUUUUGGCCCAUUUUCUAAUGUAACUGAAAAAAAUGAACAUGAAAUUACCUUCUACUAUCUUGUCUGAGUCUUUAUAUUUUCCUCCUGUAUACACUAAUAUUCUUUUUCCAACUAGAAUGUGAUGAAAAAUAAUCGAUUUUCUCCCCACAGAAUAUUUAAAAUAACACAAUGCAUACUUAGUCAAAGCCUAUUAUGUUCUCCAAGUUAAACCAGAGAGUUGCUGGACCCAGAAGGAAAUAAGAAAACAGGUAGAAUCAUUAAAUCAUCAUUCCCAGGCUUCCUUGACAUGAAAUGUAGACAUUUGACCAGCUUUCAUCCAGCAAACUCACUCACAAGAAACAUAAAAGGUGAUGCUAAGCAGUAUAGAUCAAUGCAGUCUCCUAGUCAGAAGAGCAUGUGAGCUAAAAUUGCCUGGGCUUCCAUUUUUGGACUGAAAUUCCCUGCUCCCUGCUAGGGAACCAAGGGUAAGUUGAAUUGCUCACAAAAGGGGGAGGAAUAAUAGUUAAUUGUUGAC
rnacentral:lncRNA from 1 species